UACGUAGGGGGCAAGCGUUGUCCGGAAUCAUUGGGCGUAAAGCGCGCGUAGGCGGCCCGAUAAGUCUGCUGUGAAAGUCCAAGGCUCAACCUUGGGAUGCCGGUCGAUACUGCCGGACUAGAGUUCGGAAGAGGCGAGUGGAAUUCCCGGUGUAGCGGUGAAAUGCGCAGAUAUCGGGAGGAACACCUAUGGCGAAGGCAGCUCGCUGGGACGUUACUGACGCUGAGACGCGAAAGCGUGGGGAGCAAACAGG
rnacentral:rRNA from 1 species